rnacentral:tRNA from 1 species
GGUUUAGUGGUGUAGCGGCUAUCACGUUUCGUUUACAUAUUGCGAUUGCAAAGUAAGCGCCGAAAAGGUCCCGAGUUCGAUCCUCGGCUAGAUCA